GCGCCUGUAGCUCAGACGGACAGAGCAACUGCCUUCUAAGCAGUGGGUCGGAGGUUCGAAUCCUCUCAGGCGCGCCA
rnacentral:tRNA from 2 species